CCCUUGGGUUCGGAAUAACAGUUGGAAACGACUGCUAAUACCGGAUGAUGACGUAAGUCCAAAGAUUUAUCGCCCAAGGAUGAGCCCGCGUAGGAUUAGCUAGUUGGUGAGGUAAAGGCUCACCAAGGCGACGAUCCUUAGCUGGUCUGAGAGGAUGAUCAGCCACACUGGGACUGAGNNNNNNCCCAGACUCCUACGGGAGGCAGCAGUGGGGAAUAUUGGACAAUGGGCGAAAGCCUNAUCCAGCAAUGCCGCGUGAGUGAUGAAGGCCUUAGGGUUGUAAAGCUCUUUUACCCGGGAAGAUAAUGACUGUACCGGGAGAAUAAGCUCCGGCUAACUCCGUGCCAGCAGCCGCGGUAAUACAGAGGGAGCUAGCGUUGUUCGGAAUUACUGGGCGUAAAGCGCACGUAGGCGGCUUUGUAGGUUAGAGGUGAAAGCCUGGAGCUCAACUCCAGAAUUGCCUUUAAGACUGCAUCGCUUGAAUCCAUGAGAGGUGAGUGGAAUUCCGAGNNNAGAGGUGAAAUUCGUAGAUAUUCGGAAGAACACCAGUGGCGAAGGCGGCUCACUGGACUGGUAUUGACGCUGAGGUGCGAAAGCGUGGGGAGCAAACAGGAUUAUAUACCCUGGUAGUCCA
rnacentral:rRNA from 1 species